rnacentral:misc_RNA from 1 species
AACCAUAGAAACCUGCGGAGUACCUGCGGAAGGAUCAUUACAAGAAUCGAGGCUGACGGUGCCUACUCCCUAGGCUCCGUCCAGUCCCGCUCUCUACCUUGCCUACUGCACCGUUUGUUGCUUCCUGGCGGCGUCCCGUCGCCAGGGCCUCUUGAAAGCCAAGUAUAAGCAUUGAAACUUCUGACAUACACUAAAUCGUACAACUUUUAACAAUGGAUCU